rnacentral:lncRNA from 1 species
GCUGAAUGAUAUCGAGGCAGCCCCAGGCUGAAACACAUUAUCGCUUUUGGCAAGUGGCCGAUCAGAGGACAAUGGGCUUAGGCGCGUGCCCGACGUGACCCCAUGCUUUAUUUUCUUUCGUCUGUUUACCUAAAUGCAGAUUCCCGGUUGGAAUAUUAUCGCUUUUUUACGAGAAAAAUGGCAUAAAAAUUGAUUUUAAACAGCGGUUGACAUGCUUCGAAGUACGGUAAUGGAAUAUUUAGACCUUUUUUGUCACGAAAUGCGCCAUGCUCGUCACCCUUCUUUACCCUUUCGGAUAGUGUCUUGAACGCACGAACAAAAUGCCGCUAUUUGGAUAUAACAAUGGAUUAUUUGGGACCAAACCAACAUUUGUUAUUGAAGUAGAUGUCCUGGGAGUGCAUUCUGACGAAGAACAGCAAAGGUAUACAGACAAGGAGGCAUACAAAGACUUCACCCUCCCAACACCUCUGAUGAAUAUAACAGGAAACCUGUUCCAUCACCAUACACUGCAAAAUCAUUCUG